UACGAAGGGGGCUAGCGUUGCUCGGAAUUACUGGGCGUAAGGGCGCGUCGGCGGGUGUUUAAGUCAGAGGUUAAAUCCCAGGGCUCAACCCUGGAACUGCCUUUGAUACUGGGCACCUAGAGUUCGGGAGAGGUGUGUGGAACUCCGAGUGUAGAGGUGAAAUUCGUAGAUAUUCGGAAGAACACCAGUGGCGAAGGCGACACACUGGCCCGAUACUGACGCUGAGGCGCGAAAGCGUGGGGAGCAAACAGG
rnacentral:rRNA from 1 species